UUCCUGGAUGAUAGAAAUUUUCUAUUAAAAGUCCCGGACCGAGCCACCAAAGCAUUGUAUUCAAUCGGAGGAUAUGGUAUGUCGGGCCAUGUCCUAUGGUGGUCUUUACUUGGUGUCCGUCACUCGAUCAACCCAAACCGAAGCUGAUAGCGAUGCCAACUUGGGUCACGUUUAAGAACCUCCUCCUGCUGCCACUUUACAACUCCGAUAGCUUGAACAGAAUAGCCACAAGUGUCGGCAACCCUUUGUACCUUGAUCGUACCAGAACAAAAAAGGAGAAUCUCUUGGUAGCCCCGGUCUUCGUCGAUGUUCCGCUUGAUUCCUCGUCCCCUUCGGUGGUGGUGGUAAGUAUCCUAAACGAUAAGGCAUAUCGUAUCUCAGUAGCAUACGACUGGCUACCCCUGCGAUGCAACCUGCACUCAGAAAUGGGCCACGGCGGGAGAUUCUGCCCAAAUCAUCAUGUGAACAGUGACAGACCGGCACACAGUCGUACCCGUGACUUGCCGCAAUCCCAAGCCUUACGGCAAAGUACUCCAACUCCCCUUGACUCCCAUCCUAGCAUAGUCUAGGCCCUAUUAGAUCAAGUGGGACUGAUGAUGGAAGAGGAACAUCAUAUGACAACAACACUCUACAUAAAUCCAUGGUUCCAUGACAGGUAUUGCUCCUAAC